CCUACUGGGGGCUGCAGUGGGGAAUAUUGGACAAUGGGGGCAACCCUGAUCCAGCCAUGCCGCGUGUGUGAAGAAGGCCCUCGGGUUGUAAAGCACUUUCAGUGAGGAAGAACGCCUGGUGGUUAAUACCCAUCAGGAAAGACAUCACUCACAGAAGAAGCACCGGCUAACUCCGUGCCAGCAGCCGCGGUAAUACGAGGGUGCGAGCGUUAAUCGGAAUUACUGGGCGUAAAGCGCGCGUAGGUGGCUUGAUAAGCCGGUUGUGAAAGCCCCGGGCUCAACCUGGGAACGGCAUCCGGAACUGUCAAGUUAGAGUGCAGGAGAGGAAGGUAGAAUUCCCGGUGUAGCGGUGAAAUGCGUAGAGAUCGGGAGGAAUACCAGUGGCGAAGGCGGCCUUCUGGACUGACACUGACACUGAGGUGCGAAAGCGUGGGUAGCAAACAGGAUUAGAUACCCUUGUAGUC
rnacentral:rRNA from 1 species